rnacentral:rRNA from 1 species
AGGGUUUGAUCAUGGCUCAGGACGAACGCUGGCGGCGGGCCUAACACAUGCAAGUCGAACGCACUCGACCUUCGGGUCACAUGAGUGAGUGGCGAACGGGUGAGUAACACGUGAGAAACCUGCCCCGAAGACUGGAAUAACCCGAGGAAACUCGGGCUAAUACCGGAUAUCCCUACCAGGUCGCAUGGCCAGGUGAGGAAAUGCUCAGGCGCUUCGGGAGGGUCUCGCGGCCUAUCAGCUAGUUGGUGAGGUAACGGCUCACCAAGGCAACGACGGGUAGCUGGUCUGAGAGGACGAUCAGCCACACUGGGACUGAGACACGGCCCAGGCUCCUACGGGAGGCAGCAGUGGGGAAUCUUGCGCAAUGGGCGAAAGCCUGACGCAGCCACGCCGCGUGAGGGAUGAAGGCUUUCGGGUUGUAAACCUCUUUCAGCAGGGACGAAAAUGACGGUACCUGCAGAAGAAGCUCCGGCCAACUACGUGCCAGCCGCCGCGGUAAUAC